CAGUAGCCACGGGAAUACGUAGGGUGCAAGCGUUAAUCGGAAUUACUGGGCGUAAAGCGUGCGCAGGCGGUAGUGUAAGACAGGUGUGAAAUCCCCGGGCUUAACCUGGGAACUGCGCUUGUGACUGCACAGCUAGAGUAUGGCAGAGGGGGGUGGAAUUCCACGUGUAGCAGUGAAAUGCGUAGAGAUGUGGAGGAACACCGAUGGCGAAGGCAGCCCCCUGGGCCAAUACUGACGCUCAUGCACGAAAGCGUGGGGAGCAAACAGGAUUAGAUACCCCCGUAGUCCCUGUCUCUUAUAC
rnacentral:rRNA from 1 species